rnacentral:tRNA from 1 species
GGAAUAUGGCUUAGUGGUAAAGUGCUUGCCUAGCAUGCAUGAAGCCCUGGGUUCGAUUCCUCAGUACCA